rnacentral:sRNA from 1 species
GCAGGGCAUGGUAGCAUAUGCCUGUAAUCCCAGCAACUCGGGAGGCUGAGUCAGGAGGAUCACAGGUUCCAGGCCAGCCUCAGCAACUUAGUGAGGCCCUAAGCAACUUAGUGAGAACCUGUCUCAA